rnacentral:lncRNA from 1 species
AUUGAACACCCUGUAGACCGGCGAGACCCUCCGUAGUGUUGACAAAUAUCAGCCGCCGUUGAGGUUUUCCCGGGGCUCGGUCGGGGAUAGUUAAAUGAGCUGCAAAAGACGGCGAUAACGGAGGAGGAGCGGGAAAAGGAACGGAUUUAGAAAGAGUGGUGUGUGUAAUGACGCCGCAUACGUGAUGCUCUUGUAGUGGAGGUUGCACGACUUUUAAAGCGACUUGGAUGCAACUUUUUCAAGUGACGCCGGGUCUCGGGGUCCCGGUCCCCGAGUUGUGUAAUUCAGGAGGAAUCUUUCUACCCUGUUAACACGAUUACCCGAUUGUCAACCCGAAGGUAUAUAUACUUACACGCCCACUGAAACGUCCAUCAGUCCUUUGCCGGCCUUAGACAAUCGCCAGCCCGGUCCCAGUGCGGAUGUGUUGAAAAGUUUCGCGGUUUUUCCAUCAGUUCAGGACCUCGAGUAUGAGGCAUAAGGCUCUUUGUGGCUUGAUACUCGCAAGCAUAGUGGCAUGUAACCUGACACAAGCACAGAGGCCCGCCUCCUCUUAUUUACCUCCAGGGGGAGGAGGAGGCGGUGGAGGCGGCGCACCACGACCUGGACCCUCUUACGGUCCACCUGGAGGAGGUGGCGGCGCUAAACCAUCGACUUCGUUCAAACCUCCGCCGCCAGGAGGCCCAAAACCCCCCAGUUUUGGCGGAGGCGGCCCGCCUGGAGGUGGGGGCGGAGGAGGUGGCGGAGGCGGCGGUGAAGAGGGAGGAAAAGUAAGUUAAAUUAGGAUUGAUUAACUAGACUCACAAUCAGCCUAAUUACAUUCACUGAAAAAAAUUAUAUGUAUGCAGGGGCGGAACCAGCAAUUUGGCAACAACGGAUUCCUUCCAUUUAAACCUAUGUUAAAUAAUCGAUUCUUGCGGGGGCACCUGGCCCCCCAAGAAUCGAUAAAUUUCCAUUGGUUUAAAUGGAUAAUAGACAAUGUUGCCAAUUUGCUGGAUCCGCCGAUGUAUGUAUGUUGUUUUAGCACCUGAGAUGUCAAAAAUGUGUCUGGUGAUUCCUUAAGAAGCUGCCUUUACUGCCUCCGCAGUUAAUUUUACAUCCUGUGAAUGCUAAUUUAUCUGCGUGCGUAAUCAAGGCAGCAUCUUAGGAUCACCAGACACAUUUUUGACAUCCUAAGUGCUAAGACAGCAUUCCAUUUUUUUCAGUGUUAGACUAGUGAGAAUAAUAUUCUCACAUUUUUUUCUUUUUAUAUUACAUGCACAAAACAUCAAGAUGUAAAAGAGAUAA